GACAUAGGUGGCGAACGUUAUCCGGAAUUAUUGGGCGUAAAGGAUGCGUAGAUGGUAGAAUAAGUUACUGGUCGAUGCCAAACUCAAUUUGGCGGAAGCCGAUAAUACUGUUCUACUCGAGGGCAGGAGAGGUUGUUGGAAUUCUGUGUGGAGCGGUGAAAUGCGUUGAUCUACAGAGGAACACCAAAAAAAGGCGAAGGCAAUCAACUAUUCUGUUCCUGACAUUGAGGCAUGAAAGCGUGGGGAGCAAACCGG
rnacentral:rRNA from 1 species